rnacentral:RNase_P_RNA from 1 species
CCAGAUGGCCGGAUGGCCGCUGUGGUGACACAGAGGAAAGUCCGGGCUCCACGGAAACACGGUGCCGGAUAACGUCCGGCGGGGGCGACCCCAGGGAAAGUGCCACAGAAAGCAAACCGCCUGCUUCGGCAGGUAAGGGUGAAAGGGUGCGGUAAGAGCGCACCGCGCGUCUGGCAACAGAGGCGGCACGGUAAACCCCACCGGGAGCAAGACCGAAUAGGGAUGGCACAUGGCCCGUUUCCGGGCUGCUAUCCGGGUUGGUUGCACCAGGCGUCUGGCAACAGGCGUCGCAGAUGAAUGGCCAUCGCCUGCCGCCUUCCGGGGCAGCAGGUACAGAACCCGGCUUACAGGCCAUCUGGCGCU